GACGAACGCUGGCGGCGUGCUUAACACAUGCAAGUCGAACGAAGUGGCGAACGGGUGAGUAACGCGUAAUCAACCUGCCCUUCAGAGGGGGACAACAGUUGGAAACGACUGCUAAUACCGCAUACUGAAGGUGGGGAUUGCGUUUGAUUAGCGAGUUGGAGGGGUAACGGCCCACCAAGGCGAUGAUCAGUAGGCGGUUUGGGAGGAUUAACCGCCACAGUUGGAAUGAGACCAGGCCCAGACUCCUAAGGGAGGCAGGAGGGGGGAAUUUUCCGAAAUGGACGAAAGUCCGACGGAGCAACGCCGCGUGAGUGAUGACGGCCCUCGGGUUGUAAAGCUCUGUUAAUCGGGACGCGGUACCGGAAUAGAAAGCCACGGCUAACUACGUGCCAGCAGCCGCGGUAAUAC
rnacentral:rRNA from 1 species